rnacentral:lncRNA from 1 species
GCAUUAGGAAAAUACCUUGCAGUGCUACCGGGACUGGCGGCGGAGCCGGUGCGAAUCGAAGGUAUCUAGUAUCAUUAGCAGGCACUAAGCUUUGGUUCCAUGGCUCCUUCUCGGGUCAUGCUUUCAUUCUUCCCUCAACCCGUUUGGACUUGUUCGCACGUGUGGGCGCGUCACUUGUGUUCCAUGCUUGCGUUGACCGCACCGCUCGCUGUCGAAAAGGAAACCAAAGU